AUACGGAGGAUCCGAGCGUUAUCCGGAUUUAUUGGGUUUAAAGGGAGCGUAGGCGGACGCUUAAGUCAGUUGUGAAAGUUUGCGGCUCAACCGUAAAAUUGCAGUUGAUACUGUGUGUCUUGAGUACAGUAGAGGUGGGCGGAAUUCGUGGUGUAGCGGUGAAAUGCUUAGAUAUCACGAAGAACUCCGAUUGCGAAGGCAGCUCACUGGACUGUUACUGACACUGAUGCUCGAAAGUGUGGGUAUCAAACAGGAUUAGAUACCCUGGUAGUCCACACAGUAAACGAUGAAUACUCGCUGUUUGCGAUAUACAGUAAGCGGCCAAGCGAAAGCAUUAAGUAUUCCACCUGGGGAGUACGCCGGCAACGGUGAAACUCAAAUGAAUUGGCGGGG
rnacentral:rRNA from 1 species